rnacentral:rRNA from 1 species
UACGGAGGGUGCGAACGUUAAUCGGAAUCACUGGGCGUAAAGCGCGCGUAGGCGGUCUGUUAAGUGGGAUGUGAAAGCCCCGGGCUCAACCUGGGAAUGGCGAUGGAUACUGGCGGGCUAGAGUGCGGUAGAGGGUGGUGGAAUUCCCGGUGUAGCAGUGAAAUGCGUAGAGAUCGGGAGGAACAUCAGUUGCGAAGGCGGCCGCCUGGACCAGAACUGACACUGAGGCACGAAAGCGUGGGGAGCAAACAGG